GCAGCACACAUAUUAAAAUUGGAAGGACACAAAGAAGAUUACCAUGGCCCCUGCUCAAGGAUGACAUGCAAAUCCGUGCAGUGUUUCAUAUUUGG
rnacentral:snRNA from 2 species